rnacentral:rRNA from 1 species
CAGGGUUUGACAUCCUGCGACCGCUCCUUAAUAGGAGUUUUCCCGCAAGGGACGCAGAGACAGGUGCUGCAUGGCUGUCGUCAGCUCGUGUCGUGAGAUGUUGGGUUAAGUCCCGCAACGAGCGCAACCCUCGCCUUUAGUUGCCAUCAUUCAGUUGGGCACUCUAGAGGGACCGCCGGCGACAAGCCGGAGGAAGGUGGGGAUGACGUCAAGUCCUCAUGGCCCUUACACCCUGGGCUACACACGUGCUACAAUGGCGGUGACAGUGGGCAGCUACUUCGCGAGAAGCGGCUAAUCCCAAGAAACCGUCCCAGUUCAGAUUGUACUCUGCAACUCGAGUACAUGAAGGUGGAAUCGCUAGUAAUCGCAGAACAGCAGGCUGCGGUGAAUACGUUCCC